rnacentral:lncRNA from 1 species
UGGAUUAAGUUACCUUUUCAUUUUUUCAGGCAUCUUGUUUGGAAGUCAUUCUUUCAGUCAAGAACUGUACGAAGCAUCUGUUGUGUGCCAGGCACUGUAUCAGGUGCUGGAGAUAUAGGAACUUGAACAAAGCUGAUAAACUCUGCUGCUGUAGUGGAGAUGGGAGUGGGAGCAGUUACUAAAGCCAAACAAAUGAAAUAAGCAGUCUCUGCUAAAAUGAGUUGUUUCUGUAAGGAGGGAGAUGGAAAGCUGUUUGAAGGGCUCUGAACAGAAUAAUAUCACAGCUUCCCUGUAAACAGGAUCACUCUUGCUGCUUUGUGGAGAAUUGGCUGAAGGUGGACAAGGAAAAAGCAGGGUAGCUGGUUAGGAGACUGCUGCAGUAAUACAAGCACAGAAGGACUUUUACCCUUGUGGUCACAGUGGCAACAGGAGACAUGGACUGGGAUGAGGGGAAAGAGGGAAGAAUAUGGGACAAGCAAUUUUGUUAGAAGCAGCAGGAGCUCAGUUUUGCGUAGGUUAUUUCUGAUGCCUAUGAGAUGAGAUGUGGAGUUGGCAGUUGGUUACGUUAGAGUUCAAGUAAAGGUCAGGGUUAGAGAUGCAAUUCUGGGAGGCAUCAACAUAUCACUGGUGCUGGUAUUUAGAACCAUAGGCCUGGAGUUCCCACGUGGCUCAGCAGGUUAAGGGUCCAGCCUUGUCACUGCUAUAGCUCUGGUUACAGCUGUGGCUCAGGUUCGAUCCUGGAACUUCUACAUGCCACAGGUGUGACCAAUAAAUAAAAAAAUUUAAAAAGCCAAAGGCCUGGAUGAGAUGACCUAGGGUAUGAAGGAGUGAGCAUGGACAGAAGAGCAGAGUUCCAGCCCUGAGCCCUGGGACACACCAUCUUUGAGAUUUCACAGAAGAGGAGGAGCAUCUACACAGAACUUUGGCACUUUGACUUUGCUUCCCAAACUGGGUCAUUAUUGGUGGAUUUCUCAUUUAUCAGAUAGUACUUUAUCCUCUAAAGAGUGGUGCUAUCUGGUAGAGCUGAUGUGCUUGAAAGCAAGAGUGAGACUCAAAGAAGCCCUGAGGUCACAUGGAGACUGUCAAGACUGAUCAGGUAUGUUAGAAAACUUUAAAUUUGUCUUCUAUGGGGAUCAUUUCCAUGGGGUACAGAUUCUGAUUUUGGAGCAUAGCCAGGAUUUUUUUUAAAAGAUAUUUCUGUACCAACAAGAACAUAGGAGAUCUUCUUGGCUUAAACUCUUAUAAUAUGGCAGGAUUCAUGAGAGCAAAAGCUAUAUAAAUGGGAGUUCCCAUUGUGGCUCAGCAGUUAAUGAACCUGACUAGUAUUCAUGAAAACUUGGGUUCGAUCCCUGGCCUGGCUCAGUGGGUUAAGGAUCUGGCAUUGCCGUGAGCUGUGGUGUAGGUUGCAGACGCGGCUUGGAUUUGGCACUGCGGUGUAGGCCGGUAGCUAUAGCUCUGAUUCGACCCCUAGCCUGGGAACCUCCAUAUGCCUCUGGUGCAGGCCUAAAACACACGCACGCGCACACACACACACACACACAUAUAAAGGAUAGUUACUCUAAGGGAGAGAGCCUGUCCUCUUGGGCUCAUGAAGAAAAUACUGAGUGAUCUGUGGAAACUUGGAGAGACUUCUCUCUCCUUUCUAGGAGAAUGGAUAGUUAAGGAAUUGGGCAUUUUCUAACAUGUUCUUACCUAAAAGGGAA